CCGCGCUCCGACGGGCCGAAAGCGAGCGGGGCAGCCGGCAGCUGCACAGAGCACAGCCCGGCCGACAGCUCGCGUUUGAACUUCGGUUUUAGAGCUUCUCGCAGGGAGGCCUUGAUUACCACCUGAACACGUGCUGUGGAAGCCCAGCAUGUGCAGCACCAGAGCUAAUCCAGGGCAAAGCCUAUAUUGGCUCAGAGGCAGAUUUUUGGAGCAUGGGAGUACUGCGGUACGCUCUGUUGUGUGGGUUUCUUCCUUUUGAUGAUGGCAGUGUGAUGGCACUCUACAGGAGGAUAAAAGGAGCUGGGGCACCUUGAUGAAGACUGUGUAACAGAACUUCCUGUGUUUCACAACCAGAGCAGAGUAUGUCGGCAUUAAUAUCAGAGGUGGAAUUAUGACCGGAUGUUAGCAACCUAUCUCUUGAUUCAAUCCAGGAAGGUUCGUGGCAAGCGCAUCCACUUAAGAAUUCCAUCACAAACGACGUGCCAGUACAACACAGCCAGCAAGCCAGGGGGUGUCAUUCUGUGGAUUUAGAUCUCAACCUAGCUCAUGUGGAGAGCAGCCAAAAGAAGAGAAAGGCCAAACGACUUGGAAGUCUUCAAAGAGGCCUGGAUAAAGUGAUUACAGUGCUUACAGCAGGCAAAAAAGGAAGUGAUUCAGCAGACAUGGGCCAAGAAAACUUAAGCAUUGAAAGGUUUCUGUCCAAUGCACAGUUCAAGUUGCAGUGAUGCUGAAUUCACAGGUGAGAAACAGGAGGAGCUUGCUUGAUUUUGGUAUUCAGCCUUUUGUUCACUCCUGACUGAACAGGCCCUAUGGAUGAGAACUUUGACUGAGAAAGAGAAAUUUCAGAACAAAAAUCUACAGAGUGCUGCAGUCUCCAGAAAGGUUUCCAAGUAUUUCUCAACUGCAAGAUAGAUUGCUGCUCACAGGAAGCAGUGUGAUCCAUUUUGCCGAAGGAUGCAAAAAAAAAUCCUGCCCCUUUUGAUUUUUGAUGCCUUUCAUCGUUCUUCAUAUCGGAAAAUGUCUUAGCUGGUUCAGCUGGGAUAGAACUGUUGUUUUCAGAGUUUCUGGUAUGAUGCCAUCCUUUUGAUUCAAGGAGAAAAACGAUGAUAACACAAGGAUGUUUAUAGUGGCUGAUAAGCAGUGUUCUACAGAGCCAAGGCCAUUCUCAGAGAAGGGCCCAAGGUGCUGGGAGGGAACAGAAUUCAGCUUAAACUGAGUGAAUCCAACAGGCCGACCAUCUCUUUCAGUAGUUCUACAAAGGUAUCUGUGGGAAUGAAAUGCUGUUCCUGCAUUUAGAACUAGCAAGAUGAGUAUUUUAUGGUCUCUGCUGCCAUUUAUUGUCAUUUAUUGGUACUCACAAUUCUUCUGGGGAUUCUCUUCAUUCCAAUAAAGGGGGGUCUUUAAUAAUUCCUAACUUGUCCUUUAGGUAAUCCUUCCAUAUUUAUGCACGCUUAGUAGAUAAGAUGAAAUAAGAAGUACCAAAAUUGUAACUUCUGUAUUAUGGACUAUUCUGUUUUGCCAAGAAGCCCUCAGCAAAAGAACAACUUAAGGGGCCUUUGACAUGAGGUCAAACUGUCCCUCUUUUGGAUUAGGAGGAAUGCAACUGAUGCUCCCCUACAUUUUUCCUUCCAACUUACCUCUAUCCCAGGACAGCAGGUGUCCAGGAAUAAUGGUCUAGUGUUGAAUGAGCAAAUGUGAGAAGUUAAUUAGCAAUAUACGCUUAGCUAGCAACAAUUCAUCUUCAGCCAGUAGCCGUAUGUUUAGUUGAGUGUUGGGAAAUUUGUGAGCCUGCAGUACUCAGCCAAUGUGGAAUCAGGGCAGGGAGAGAGAAGCGAAGGGCGAUAGGGAAUGAAAGACCUGAUGGCUGUUCUAUACUGGAAUGUCCCCUAACACCUUUCCCACAAUGUAAUCUGCCAGUUAGGGGUGGUUUUUGGAGGUAGUAGUUCAGAUACGAUCAGUAAGGAACUUCAUUUUCAGAUUGGCAGGGUUUUUAGGAGCUCCUAUCUCCUUCGUUCACUUGACAACUGGUGUCUUUAAAGAACUGGAAACAGCAUUUAUGACUAUACUGUUGCAGGGACUUCAGAAGGUUUCUUCCUGUGAUAAACCUAACUGCAGCUUUUCCAUAUUUGAUUAUGGAUUGGGGAUUAUUGCCAAGCCUAGUAGGGGUAUGAAAGAACAACAAAAGAAUAAAUGUUCCAAGAAUUGUUAUGGGCUAUGGAUAUAUCCAAUUCUGCUUACUAAUUAAAAAAAAAAAAAAUCAAUUCUAUGCUUUGUGGAAAGCAGCAUCUUCUCUUGAAAUCUUAUUUGUCUUAUGAAAAAACACUUUUCUUUCUCAGCUUUGGUGCUGUUUUGUUCUUGAUCUGCUUUGUGUAGUAACAUGACAAUUUUCUAAUGACAGCUCUCUCCCACAGUCAAUGCAGCUAACAUCUCCUGCAUGCAACACAUGAAUCUUCCUGGAUUUCAUUUCUGUAUUUGCAGAUUUCCAGGAGAGUGCAAUGGAAACAGCCACAGGUUUUGCAAGAAUGGGACUUAUUUAUUUCUUUGAUCCAUAUUCCAAUAAUAUUAUUGUAUAAAUAAAUAUGAAGCUUGAAUUUUGCCAAGUUUUGAACUUUGAAUGGACUUUGGCCUGUUUGAAGAAAGAAUGUUCCUGAGCCUUUUCAGCAUCACCAAUCACCUGGCUUGCCUGGGUGGCAUUAGCUGAAGAGUCAUUGUCUUGGGCUGAAGAUAACAUGUACAAUGUCCUUAAUAUAUAUGAGUAACAAAGCUUCUUUGUAAUAUAUACAAAACAUACAUACAACAUACAAUAAGAAAGCAUAACACUAGUGGGAAUUUGGGCCUUGCUUUUGUGAAAUGAAUGCAUCAGUGUCUGAUUCAAGGGAAGCGGUUGCAAUUUUGAAGUUCUCAAGGGUGUUUGUCAGAGGUUUUUGAUGAAAUAUUGCUCUUUCUGUGAUUCAUCUUUGAAAACAGAGUGUUCACAAAUGCGCCUACUGACAAAAAGUAAUGACAAUAAUAAAGCAAUAAUGACUAUAAUGACUGUGAAGCAAGGGAUAUUGUUCUCUGGUAAGACAGCUCUUACAAAUGUCUCGUAAAGAGACAUAAUCAAAUAUUUAUUUUUGUUGAAUGUCUAAUUGUAACUCAAUAUAUUCAAUUUGAAAAUUUGCAGCUAAUGUAUUCAUGUUGACAUAAAAUAAA